GACGAACGCUGGCGGCGUGCUUAACACAUGCAAGUCGAACGGAAAGGCCUCUUUCGGGGGGUACUCGCGUGGCGAACGGGUGAGUAACACGUGAGUAACCUGCCCUUGACUUUGGGAUAACUUCAGGAAACUGGGGCUAAUACAGGAUAGGAGCUCCUGCUGCAUGGUGGGGGUUGGAAAGUUUCGGCGGUUGGGGGUGGACUCGCGGCUUAUCAGCUUGUUGGUGGGGUAGUGGCUUACCAAGGCUUUGACGGGUAGCCGGCCUGAGAGGGUGACCGGCCACAUUGGGACUGAGAUACGGCCCAGACUCCUACGGGAGGCAGCAGUGGGGAAUAUUGCACAAUGGGUGGGAGCCUGAUGCAGCAACGCCGUGUGCGGGAUGACGGCCUUCGGGUUGUAAACCGCUUUCGCUCAUGACGAAGCUUUGUGUGACGGUAGUGGGUAAAGAAGCACCGGCUAACUACGUG
rnacentral:rRNA from 1 species